GCGAAGGCAGCCAUCUGGCCUAAUACUGACACUGAAGUGCGAAAGCAUGGGGAGCAAACAGGAUUAGAUACCCUGGUAGUCCAUGCCGUAAACGAUGUCUACUAGCCGUUGGGGCCUUUGAGGCUUUAGUGGCGCAGCUAACGCGAUAAGUAGACCGCCUGGGGAGUACGGUCGCAAGACUAAAACUCAAAUGAAUUGACGGGGGCCCGCACAAGCGGUGGAGCAUGUGGUUUAAUUCGAUGCAACGCGAAGAACCUUACCUGGUCUUGACAUAGUAAGAACUUUCCAGAGAUGGAUUGGUGCCUUCGGGAACUUACAUACAGGUGCUGCAUGGCUGUCGUCAGCUCGUGUCGUGAGAUGUUGGGUUAAGUCCCGCAACGAGCGCAACCCUUUUCCUUAUUUGCCAGCGGGUUAAGCCGGGAACUUUAAGGAUACUGCCAGUGACAAACUGGAGGAAGGCGGGGACGACGUCAAGUCAUCAUGGCCCUUACGACCAGGGCUACACACGUGCUACAAUGGCGCAUACAAAGAGAAGCGACCUCGCGAGAGCAAGCGGACCUCAUAAAGUGCGUCGUAGUCCGGAUUGGAGUCUGCAACUCGACUCCAUGAAGUCGGAAUCGCUAGUAAUCGUGGAUCAGAAUGCCACGGUGAAUACGUUCCCGGGCCUUGUACACACCGCCCGUCACACCAUGGGAGUGGGUUGCAAAAGAAGUAGGUAGCUUAACCUCCGGGAGGGCGCUUACCACUUUGUGAUUCAUGACUGGGGUGAAGUCGUAACAAGGUAACCGU
rnacentral:rRNA from 1 species